rnacentral:other from 1 species
AGAGGAGAGUACGGACUCACUCAGCCCGGAGCAGAGAGGUGGCCCGGAGCGAAGAGGGGGUCCGGAGCGAAGAGGAGGUGCUGAGCGAAGAGGAGAUGCUGAGCGAACAGGUGGCCCGUAAUGAACAGUUU